CCCUCGCACGCCAUGCACUGUCUCAUUGCUCGGCCUGCGGAGGAGAGGUGUUUGAAAGAUGUCUGACUUCUGGUUGCCCAUGUCCCCUGAUUUGGUGGCUUACAUGUGUGCUGCCCAUGAUAUGAGGGUCCUGGAGGAUGAUGUCCCCUGAUCUGAUAUUUGGAGGUGCUCCAUCACAUCAGCUUGCUACUGGAAGAUGAAGUAGGAGGACAUGAAGAUGCCUCUCCGUUGGUGUUGUCUAGCCAUGCAGUACAAGGAGUUGUACAAGUCAAAUCUGCAGGAGCCCUUCCCACGGAGGCUGGAAUAGUGAAGUUGAGCUAUUUGGAGGUGCUCCAUCACAUCAGGCUAAAUGUGUCCAUUGAAGGGUGGAGGUGACUUGCCUGGCAUUCCUUACUGUAUGCUGUUCCUGGUUUCUUAAUAAACAGUGAUGUAGAAAUUCUGUCUGACUCUUUCCUGAUCACAGUCCUGCAUUGGUUGGUCUACAACUACAAUAAUACUGUAUUGUGUUGUUUAAAUGUUCAAUGCAAAAGAAACUUGCAGCAGCUAAAGUGGAAGUAGUAAGUAGGUACAACUUUCCCAACAGCUGCUGCUACAUAACUUUCUUGCAUAGUGAGCAAUAAAGCUGUGAGUACACUGCA